rnacentral:rRNA from 1 species
AUGAACGCUAGCUACAGGCUUAACACAUGCAAGUCGAGGGGCAGCAUGGUCUUAGCUUGCUAAGACUGAUGGCGACCGGCGCACGGGUGAGUAACACGUAUCCAACCUGCCGUCUACUCUUGGACAGCCUUCUGAAAAGGAAGAUUAAUACGAGAUGGCAUCAUGAGUCCGCAUGUUCACAUGAUUAAAGGUAUUCCGGUAGACGAUGGGGAUGCGUUCCAUUAGCUGGUUGGCGGGGUAACGGCCCACCAAGGCAACGAUGGAUAGGGGUUCUGAGAGGAAGGUCCCCCACACUGGUACUGAGACACGGACCAGACUCCUACGGGAGGCAGCAGUGAGGAAUAUUGGUCAAUGGGCGAGAGCCUGAACCAGCCAAGUCGCGUGGAGGAAGACUGCCCUACGGGUUGUAAACUCCUUUUACCUGGGAAUAACGGGCGCUACGCGUAGCGCUGUGCAUGUACCGGGAGAAUAAGCAUCGGCUAAUUCCGUG